rnacentral:rRNA from 1 species
CGGUAAUUCCAGCUCCAAUAGCGUAUACUAAAGUUGUUGCAGUUAAAAAGCUCGUAGUUGGAUUUCUGCGGGGACGGAGCGGCCGGACGCAACUUGCGUCUCGAGCUAGCGCUUUCCCCGCAUCCUGCCGCGAACCGUGCUACCAUUAGCUUGGUGGCGCUGGGGAUCGGCUCGAUUACUUUGAGAAAAAUAGAGUGUUCAAAGCAGGCCACACGCCUUGAAUAAGUUAGCAUGGAAUAAUGACUAAGGACUUCGGUUCUAUUUUGUUGGUGUUCGGGACUGAAGUAAUGAUUGAUAGGGACAGUUGGGGCGGUCUGUAUUCCAAAGCGAGAGGUGAAAUUCUUAGACCUUCGGAAGACAAACAGCUGCGAAAGCGUUCCGCAAGGAUGUUCCCUUUGAUCAAGAACGAAAGUUGGGGGAUCGAAGACGAUCAGAUACCGUCGUAGUCUCAACUAUAAACUAUACCAGCUAGGGAUCGGUCAACGUUUAAUCAUUCGACUUGAUCGGCACCUUAUGAGAAAUCAAAGCAUCUGGGUUCCGGGGGGAGUAUGGUCGCAAGGCUGAAACUUAAAGGAAUUGACGGAAGGGCACCACCAGCCGUGGAGCCUGUGGCUUAAUUUGACUCAACACGGGAAAACUUACCAGGUCCAGACAUAGUAAGGAUUGACAGAUUGAUAGCUCUUUCUUGAUUCUGUGGGUGGUGGUGCAUGGCCGUUCUUAGUUGGUGGAGUGAUUUGUCUGGUUAAUUCCGUUAACGAACGAGACCCCAGCCUGCUAAAUAGCGCGGUUGAGCUUUGCUCGAUGCGAGCUUCUUAGAGGGACUAUGAUGCGCGAUAGCACAUGGAAGUUUGGGGCAAUACCAGGUCUGUGAUGCCCUUAGAUGUUCUGGUCCGCACACGGGCUACACUGGCGCCUGCAACGAGCAUAUCAGCUGGCCCGAGAGGGUCUUGGCUAAUCUUUUGAACCGGCGCCGUGCUUGGGAUUGACCAUUGCAAUUGUUGGUCAUGCAACGAGGAAUGCCUUGUAAACGCGAGUCAUCAGCUCGCAUUGAAUACGUCCCUGCCCUUUGUACACACCGCCCGUCGCUCCUACCGAUGAAUGUUCCGAUGAAAUUUUCGGAGAGCGCCAGAGAACGGGGCUCUGCCUUGCAGAUCUGGAGGCUCAAAGUCACUUAAAUCUGAACAUUUCGAGGAAGGAGAAGUCGUAACAAGGUAACC